UUAAUGAGUUAGGGUCUAAUAGGCCCGACCUCCCAUCCUUUGUUUAUAUUACCGUGUUGCUUUGGCGGGCCCGCAUUUCUGCCGCCGGAGGGUUACCCUCUGGCCAGUGCCCGUCAACAGCCCCCUUUAAUUCUUUACAUAUGUGGUCUGAAAACAUUUAACUAUAAUUGAAAUAAAAACUUUCAACAACGGAUCUCUUGGUUCUGGCAUCGAUGAAGAACGCAGCGAAAUGCGAUAAGUAAUGCGAAUUGCAGAUUUCUAGUGAGUCAUCGAAUUUUUGAACGCAUAUUGCGCCCUUUGGUAUUCCGAAGGGCAUGCCUGUUCGAGCGUCAUUAUCACUUCUCAAGCUUGGGCUUGUUGUUGGAUUCGGUCGCAGUGCGUGCUGCACGGCGACGAUCCGAAAGAUAAUGGCGGUGUCGAGUCCGACCCCUUGUACAAUGAGCUUUCACGGCACGUAUGAGUGGAUGGUUGGCCGACCCGGUUCAAACUUUAUUCCAACCACAAAGUUGACCUCGGAUCAGGUAGGGAUACCCGCUGAACUUAA
rnacentral:rRNA from 1 species